rnacentral:lncRNA from 1 species
GGGUAUUACACUAGUGAAGUACUUUCCUUCCAGAAACAAAAGCCAAUAUUUCAACAAAUCCACUUUCAGUUCAAUAUAGGGAAAACUAAGGUUGUCGUCUUUGCUGGUCUCAACAGCCAAAAUGCAGGGGUUAUAACUAGAAAAAAUUGUGAGAAAUAACCUUCUUCAUAAGAUCAAUUCAAAAAUAUCAUUUUUUAUAAUUUUAACUAUUUUGGUCAAUUUUUGGCAUAACUUGACAAUAAUACCCCUUAAACAAUUUCAGACAAAUUAAAAUAAUUUCAGUUUUCUCUCUUCCGCCAUCCGGAUAAAAAUUUCAAAAUUAAAUCUCAAUUUCUCUCUUUACUCAAAUAUGUCUAUCUCGCCAUCCAAUUUGUAGAGAUGACAUCAAGCUCUUUCUUAUUUUGUUUUAUUUUUUUAGAUAGUGGAUCUUGGGGUUCUUAAGGGCGAUGAACAACGAUUUUGCUCUUUGCAGAUAGCGAUUUUGCUUAGGGAGAAAAAACAGUUAAAGUAUGUUUGAUGGGUUUUAUAGUGGUUCACAGUUUUGUUCUGUUUGGGAUUAAGAUAAUUGUUAAGCAUGUUUGCUAGGGAUUUUAAUUUUUUUUAUGGGAUUUUGAGUUGAAACUAUUCAGGGAAUAUUUUGUAAAUAGGGUAUAUUUUGUUUUUGUAUAAGGGAAGUGAGCAAGGCCUCCAAAUAGGGAUAUAUUUUCUCUUGCUUUGGAGAGUUAUGGAGUUUUGUAACCUAUCUUUUAUGAAAUACACAAUUUCAUAGCUUAGUAAAAAAAAAGUAUGUGUUUUAGGUUUUUGAGUUUAUUGGUUUAUUCAUAGAACCCUAAAAUUGAGAAGUUGAAAUUGAUUAGAUUGGUUUUUAAGUAUUAUGAGAUUAGUUUUUAGGUAUUGCGUGACUUAAUCACUGUGUGACUAGUUUUUAGGUAUUACGUGAUUGGUUUUAAGUAUUACGUGAUCGAAUUUUAAACAUUGCGUGAAUGAUUUUUAAAUAAUGCCUAAGUUACACAAUGCCUUACUAACUAGUCACGCAAUGCCUUACUAACAAGUCACGCAAUACCUAUCAACUAGUCACGCAAUGCCUUAUCAGAAGCUAGUCAUGCAAUGCCUUAUCAAAAACUAGUCAUGCAAUACCCAAAGUUAGUCAUGUAAUGCCUAUCAACUAGUCACGCAAUGCCUAUCAACUAGUCAUGCAAUGCCCUAUCAGAAACUAGUCACGCAAUGCUUUAUCAAAAACUAGUCACGAAAUGCCCAAAGUCAGUCACGUAAUGCCCAAAGGUCAGUCACGUAAUGCCUAUCAACUAGUCACACAAAGCUUAAUCAGAAACUAGUCACACAAAUGACUUAUUAAAAACUAGUCACGCAAUUUCCAAAGUCAGUCACGCAAUAUCUAAAGUCAGUCACGCAAUGCCUAAAAACUAGUCACGUAAUUCUCAAAAAUUACCAAAACUACUGAAUUCCAUUAACAAGAUCAACAACUUCAAACGAUCCACUAUAUUCCAUUUAACAAUAUAAUUAAUGAAUAUGAAUGCUCAAAAUGUUCAAAAGUUUUUUUUCAUAUAUAAAAAAUCACUCUAAAAUGCUUUAAAAUUGCUCAAAACGCUUACAGGUUUUCUUCGUGUAUCAAAAACUACUCCAAAAUGCUCAAAAUGCUUAGAUAUUUUUCUUUCUGAUAAGGAAUACUCCAAAGAUAAAUAGUUUGAUGAAGAAAGCUCAAAAAAUAUGAAUCAGUUUAAGGCGCAAACCUAAACAUACUUGACUCGUUAAUAGGUUUUGUAUUGAGACGCGAAGUCAAAUAAACGGGUCGAUUUCAUUAAGGGUAAUUUUGUCUGAAUUUUAAUUCUCUUGGCUAAAAUUAGUUAAAAUUAUAAAGAGAUCUAUUGUUAAAAACACAUUAUGCAUAGGGCCCAUUUAAAAAAAGAACCCUUUGCUAAGGCCGUCUUUGGCUCACACCCACCAAUCAAUCCGGAUGUUCUCACAAAGGCCUUCAAGUUGGACAAGAGUGUGGUCACAUAUCUUCAGUCCCGGUUCUAGUCAGAUUAAAAACUAAUUUAAGAGCCAAAUCAAAACCCAGAAGUUUGUUACUUGUUUUGAAUAAUGUUGCCAUUAAUUUUCUACAUGAAAGUCAUAUCGUUCUACUUACUGUAAUACAAUAAACAGGCUAGUUGAUGACGUACCUCUCUAGUCUCCUCUAUCCUUGUGAUCAUUCUGGGUAUAAAAAUCAGAAUAUAUAGGCCAAUUUGCAAUCUCUCUCUCAUGCUCACAUGUGUAUGCAAGGUAAAAAGUUGAUAGGAUUUUACAGAAACAAAUCAAGUAACUUUGAAGCAAUAAACUUUGUAUUCUUUUGCAAGUGUCAAAAUAUAGUGCAAAAAUAAGAGGUUGAUUACCCAAUGGUCUAAGUUGUGCAUAAGUAAUGGUAAACAUUGUCUGAUGAAGAGGCUGAGAUAUGAACGACUUCAAUAUAACAUUAUAAUCAGAGAAAUCAGAUUAGGGUGAAAAUUAAACAGCAGAUUAAUUUGCUGACUCUUGGGGUUGAAUCAAUUACAUAUUCAACACCCCAAACCCUGCCUUCCCUUGCAAGGUACGCUGCAUAUAAAAUAAUUCUGAAGGUGGAAUUUUACAAAACCAAAUGCCUUACCUGUUAGAUAAGUUGGUACGUUCAACUUCGAUCCAAUUAAUUGUGUCCAAAAUAUCACUAAGAAGACAAGACAUGUCCCUCACUUUGUAGAGUACCUUGGUAGAUAUUAGGUGGAAAAAAAAAAAAAGAGUUGUUGAGGUGCACAUUGUUCUCUCAUCCUGCUGGUGAGACUAACUAAGGUUUUUUAUUUUUAUUUUCUUUAAUGGCUAGACUAGUUGAUGAGUUGUUAGACAAUCUAGAAUUGGAAUAUAUCCAUAAGAAUACUAAAGAGUUAAAUCUGUAAUGAAUUGAUUUUAUGACUCAGUGAAGUCAUUUGCUUAUUGAUGUAAUUGGAUCUUGAACAAUGUUGUAUAAGCCUAAAACGAAGCUGUCAGUUUGUCUAAUAUAUUAAAGUGCGAAUGCCUUGUCCUUGCUGCUACAUCUUGCCAUAGCUAUCUACUUCAUCUGUUAGCUCAGGGCUUUGCACACAAUCAACAUGUUGGUUACUUGCUCCUUUACUCCUUUUUCAGUAAUUCAGUUGUUUUAACAAUUGAAUGAUCUUACAAGAACUCAUGAGUCAUGACAAAUAUGAAAGACAAGUCCCUAUAAAUGUCAAGAGAAAUGCUUCUGUUCUUAAUUUCUUGUGGCAUCUAAUUAACUGCGUAUGCUUCUCUGCCUAACAUUAAUCUGAUGACAGGUAAAAGCUGCCAUGAAAAUAUCAAACUCUUCUCAGAACACAUCAUAAGAUAAUAUGCCAUUUCCAAAUGAAGAUUAAUUACAAAGGAUACAUAUAUAAUGUCAGCAACAAAUUUGUAUUAAAUAAUAACGUGUGAUCGCUCAUAUAAAUAUGAUUCAAAGUCUUUGAAGUUAUAGAAGUAUUCAAGUUUACUUUUUUUCUUUUUUUUUUCACAUCUGGAAGACUGACUAGGCAAAUUUGAGUCAAUACACGUUACACAGUCACAAUUGGAAGUUGCGAUCCAUUGAACAGGAUCUGCAUAGUAUAAUCUAUUGAUAAUUUUUUUGUAGCUCAAUGUCAUUAUCACCUACCAAUACUUUUAACAACUAUUCUUAUUGUUCAUUAAUAAUGUUAUGCAAGAUAAUUAAUCACUUGCUAUUUUGCCAUUUGGCUUUGAGCAUUUGCUUCCCUGGUUAGUUCACCAAAUAAAGAAAUCACCAACUCACCUCAAUGCUCAAAGAUUAUUCAUGUCUAUAAGAGUUACAACUGAGUCAUCACCCACAAUUCUUGAAACAGUUUCUUCCAGCCACAGUUUGGCCAAUUCUAAGAUCAAUUCAAGGCAGCCCUAAUUAAUUUUUGGCUAAUUGAAGAUGUUUGAGUCUAGCAUGGUUAAUUGAACGUGCAAGAAAUUACUAAUGUUGUGAAUGUGAUAAGCACAGAUGUAAUAUGUUUGAGUAUUCAUGAACAUGUCAGAUUAGACUUUGUCAACUGAGACUACAUAAUAUGUUGAUUGGGGAUAAAGUUAGAAACCUUAAAUGAAGCAUAAGUUUUUGUCUCAUUAGCACUUCUUAGAUCAUGCUAAUUAUAAGGAAUGAAUUGAGUUCAACAGACAAAACUUUGCCGGCUAUUUGCAGCAACUCCAGAUAUAAAUCAAUUAUCUCACUCAAAUAAUGAAUAAAAAAAAAGAAAAAGUUUAAGGUAUGAAGAAGACAAUGCAAAACUGUUUAUGAUCAGUUCAUAUUUGAUGGUAUGUGAUGCACUUCCUAAAUAUCUAUAAACUUAUUUACGUAGGAAACAUUCAUUUGCUACCUAAUUCAAAAUUUUUUAUAAACGUUUGUACUUUCAAAGAAGUGGCAAAUAAGUUAUGACUUUUUCAUAAUGUGGAGAAUUAUACCCCAACUGCAGGUUAUCAAAUAUGAACUUGUUUCUAGCAUUUCUUUCCACAAAGGCAACACAGAAUCAAUCAACGCAUCAAACUUCAAUCCAAAAAGAAAAAUAUAGGAAAGAUACAUAGAAGUCUUAAGUGAAUUAUGACCUGUUCCCCGAUAAUAUUAAAAUGAUGUAAGCCAUGGAUGAGGAAAACGGGGACUAGAAAAUAGAAAAUAACUAGUUGUAAAGGCACAUGCCAGUAGUCACCAACUUCAUUGAGAGGAAACAAGGACCAGUUCAUUUGUUUUCCAUCUAUAAAUAGACCUUUCUGCCAUGCACGAUUUCUCACCCCGCUCCCAAGUAGUAGCAUACAGCUCCACAACGUAGGAUAGAUUUCCUUCCAGCGGAAUUGUAAUGAAAGGAGUUCAACUUUUCCUUGUAGCUUCUGCCUUCUUGGCCUUCGCUUGGUCAUUAGCCUCAGCUUCUGACCCUGACCCUCUCCAAGACUUCUGUGUAGCCAUCAAUGACACCAAGGACGGUGGUAUGUUAUAGUAUUACGUUUUGUCUCUCAGGACUUUCAUGUUAAUUAUUAUUUUAUGUCAAUGACUAUAAUUUCCAUUCCCAGCAAUAGUUUUCUUCAUAAUUAACGAACAUUACUUUCAUUGAUGCAGUGUUCGUAAAUGGGAAGUUCUGCAAGGACCCAAAGCUUGCCAAGGCAGAAGACUUCUUCUAUUCAGGGCUCAAUAUCCCCAGAAACACAUCAAAUCCAGUGGGAUCAACUGUGACUCAGGUCAAUGUUGCACAAAUACUAGGACUUAACACUCUUGGCAUAUCUCUGGCUCGAAUUGACUAUGCUCCGUACGGAGGCCUAAACCCCCCUCACACUCAUCCUCGUGCCUCUGAGAUCCUAGUGGUUUUAGAGGGCACACUUUACGUUGGCUUUGUUACAUCCAACCCGGAGAAUCGUCUCAUCACCAAAGUCUUGUACCCUGGAGAUGUGUUUGUUUUCCCAGUUGGUCUCAUCCACUUCCAGCUCAAUAUAGGGAAAACUAAUGCAGUUGCCUUUGCUGGUCUCAGCAGCCAAAAUCCAGGAGUAAUCACUAUUGCAAAGGCAGUCUUUGGCUCAAACCCUCCCAUCAAUCCUGAUGUUCUCACCAAGGCCUUCCAGCUGGACAAGAAUAUUGUUACCUCUCUUCAGUCCCGGUUCUGGUGGGACAACAAUUAAUUUGAAUAAUGUGUCAUGAAUCCAUAAGAUAUGGUAGUUUUUUAUUUUGAAUAAUGUGUCAUCCAUCUUCCUUGCUGUUGUCAUAAACCUAAUAAUAAUGGAUCAAGUGAUUACAUUUGUACCUCUCCUUUGCUGUGUUCAGCAUUCUAUAUAUUAAAAUUUUUUAGGCCAUAACACUGCAUUCUAUGUAUUCUGUGCGCCUUUGAACAUGUGGAGUGAAAUUUAUAAUUAGUGGUUAAUAGUGCAAUGCUGUCAAGAGGGAGAAAUGUACAAUUGGUGAAGUUGAUAUUUGCAGACCUGAUUAGAAAAUUAACGGGGCAAGUUAAUCAGUACAGUUAGGAAAAAAGACUAUAAAUUUGGCAAAUAAAGAAUGCAGGGUAGGUUAAAUAAAAUGUGUACAAUUAACAUCACACAACCUCUCCUCCUCUUUCCUCCCAAGGAAACCCUAAAGGAAUAAUAAUUCUGAUCCUUUCAGAUGCAUGCAUGAUAAGCAGGUUUCCUAAGUUUGCAGGUCAAUUCUCCAAACAAUAAGACCUUAAACGCAUCCUAAGGAAAAAACAUGAUCUGGCGAGAUGACAGCAAUUAUUGAUAUAAGUGAUCACAGUGAAAUGAGACCUAUUAGUUACUAAGGCUUUUAAUUGAGUGUGUGACCUGCAACAUCGAUCCUUGAAUUUGGGCAAAUGAUGCCUGACCUUACAAGAAUUUAAGUGUAACUUAUGUGUGCAUGCCAAACUUUUAUCAGACAAUAAUGUGAAUAAUGAUUUAAUAAUAGGCCUAAGUCUCACCCAGCAAGGACAAAGUGUAUUAAAGUAAUAGCAAUUUUCCAAUACUUUCUCAUCUAGAUGUCUGAAUGUUGCGAACACUGAUGUUUGGAUGUUGAAAUCAGCUCAACUUAGUUUGCUUUUUAUAGUUAUCAGAUAUUAUAUAAGAAGAUAAAAGGAACAAAUACAUUUACUUAUUCUUCUUUCUAAAGCCAUAUGUUUAUACUUAGUAAAACAAAGUUUAGAAGAUUUUCCUGACAAUUUAUAACCUUUGUUUAUGUUCAGGAUUUCUGUGAUCUUUUGCUAAUUAUUAUUAUCUGUUCAUCUUUGUAGUAUUUAGCAAGUUAACUGACUAGUUUACCAUUCUGCUUUUCUGCUUAAACAACAGUUCAAAAAAGAAAAGAAAAAAUAAUAAAGAGAAAAACAUAGCCUAAUUGGUUCACUUUAGCCUAUUCAGGCCUGGGUUUAGCAUGCACUUCAGAAGGGCCUAUAUCUUGAUUGUAGCUCACAUCUAUACUUCUCCAACUGUUGCUUCAGUGAUUAGUUCAAAGUACUGCAUUCUUCAAGAAGUGGUCAAAUUUUGCAAUUUGCCAAUUCAAGCAAGGUUAAUCUUGCAAGAAUCCUUGCUUUUUUAGUCAAAGGGGCCAUAUGUUUUAUUGUCCAGGAACAUGUCACAUUAGACUUUGUCAACUGAGACAAAAACUUUACAGAGUCUCUCUGCCUUACAGGUUUGUUACGUCCUUUUUGCUACAUUCAAUUUUUGGCAAUAGUACUACUUCAGUCACACUAUUGGUUUGAGUACCUUUUUCUUUCUGAAUACAGAACAUUAUUUUUUUAUCUGAGCUGCUCUCCAAAUAUGAUUUAUUGAAUCAUAAAUUUGUAGCCCGAAUUUCCGUUGAAGUGCAAUGGACUACUUACAUGUGUCAUCUGCCACAGCUGCAAAUGCAAGCAUGUCUAAUUUAAAUACUAUGAAAAGGAAGAAGUACCUGUAAGGGAAACUGUCAACUUUUGAAUUGCAAGAUCAAUUAGCUGAAGCGCCGGCAUCCUGCAGCAAUUAUCAAUUUGUGCUAAAGUCAAUGAAGUAGGUCAGUUUAAAUUGAGUACCAAUGUUCACAAACAAGGAAAGGAAGGAAACUUUUGAUAUGUACAACAAGACCACUUCCAUGUCUAAAUGCUGUGAUGUAAGCAUUGGAAGUGGGCAUUCGAAGAGGAUAUAGAUGCAUGGUUGCUGAGGAAUUAUUCGUCCACAAAUUUAAAGGAAAAAAAAAAAAAAACCAAGUCACUGCUGACUUGGUAAGUCCUUGAUGAGAAAGAUCAAAUACUUGUUCAAAGACUCCAACCUAUAAAUAGGCAUGCUUUCAAAAGGUUUACUCACCCAAAGCAAGAAAACUUGGAAGACUUGAAUCUAGUAACCUGCCAAGCUACAAUGAAAGGUGUUUAUUUCCUGGCAUCUUUUCUCUUUUUGGCUCUGGCUUCCUCAUUUGCCUCUGCCUCUGACCCUAGCCCUCUUCAAGACUUUUGUGUAGCCCUCAAUGACACUAAAAAUGCAGGUAUGUUUUCCCUUAAUUUCUCUGUUUUCAUUUGAAUUUACCGGGGUAUGCAUAAACUAAAGACAUUCAGCAAGGAUGCAAUAAUGCUUCUAUUCUCCAGAACAAUAAUAACUAAAAUGAAUCUUUUCUUUCUUGCGUGCUUGGUAUCAACAAACACUUUUCUCUUUCAUGCAGUAUUUGUGAAUGGGAAGUUCUGCAAGGACCCAAUGCUUGCCAAAGCAGAAGACUUCUUCUUUUCAGGGCUCAACGUGCCAGGAAACACAUCAAAUCAACUGGGGUCAAAAGUCACUCCUGUUAAUGUGGAACAAAUUCCAGGACUUAACACUCUUGGCGUAUCUCUGGCAAGAGUUGACUUUGCACCUUAUGGUGGGCUAAAUCCCCCUCACACUCACCCUCGUGCCACAGAGAUCCUAGUUGUCCUAGAAGGCACACUCUAUGUCGGCUUUGUCACAUCCAACCCGGAUAACCGUCUCAUCACCAAAGUCCUCUACCCUGGCGAUGUUUUUGUCUUUCCGGUUGGUCUCAUCCACUUCCAGCUCAAUAUAGGGAAAACUAAUGCAGUUGCCUUCGCUGCUUUCGGCAGCCAAAAUCCAGGAGUUAUCACUAUUGCAAAGGCAGUCUUUGGCUCAAACCCUCCCAUCAAUCCUGAUGUUCUCACCAAGGCCUUCCAGCUGGACAAGAACGUAGUGAAAUAUCUUCAGUCACAAUUCUGGUGGGAUAACAAUUAGACCAAUAUUCAACAUCCAUGAAGCAGUAGACAGUUUGGAGCAAUAUCUUACAUGUUUCCAUCAUUAUUUAAGUAAUUCUUGUUGAAGUCAAAUAAAGAGGUUGCUUAUGUAUCUCCACUGAUGUAAUUCUCCCUGUAUGUUGGUUUUGGAUUUAUUAUGUUAUUACGGUUUACUCCAAAUUAGUACCAAAUCUCAACUUUUAUCUAGAUCUCAUUGGAAGCACCCUUUCUGAGAAUACUUUAAUUAAGGUCUUGGAAUCUGACAUGGGAAGAUUUAUGCAAAACAUCAGAGGAUUUCCAGAAUUGGGCUAACUUUAUGUUUCUUGCGGACGAACUAUUUAGGAAAGUUGCAAUCUUUUUUUUGAAGAUUAAAGAGGGUCAUUUCAUUAUAUGGAAAUAUUACUUACAAAAACAGACAGUUAUCAACUGGUGUUCCUCCAGUUAAACUGUCCUAGGAUGGCUUACGAAAAAACAGCCAUGACAGCAACCUGUUAAACUAUACAGAGAACAAGAGUCCACCACCCUGCUAUCAGACUCCCAACAAUCAUGUAAUACCCCUCACAAAGUAUUUAUAAAAAAAAAAAAUUAAUUAAAUUAAAAUUAUUAAGCUAUAGUUUUAUAAACAUAAUAAGUAGAUAUUAUUUUAGUAUUUUAUUUAUUUACAAUUAUGACCUUGGGUGUCUUAAUAAUUAGAAAAUAGAAGAAGGGGUCUUUAAGUAAAAGAAGAAGUUUAAUUAAGUCAGUUUUAUUAUCACGUUUAAGUUAGUGGGAUUAAAGGUCAGUUUAUUUAUCCCAUUUAAGUUAGUGGGGUUAGGUAGUUUAUAAGUUUUAAAAGAACAGACAACAACUUAUGUUAGUUCAUUCAUCAGAUUCAAACAACAGACAGUCAGAAAAGCUUAAUAUCAGGGAAGAAGAAAGACAGAGGAGAGGAAAAGAUAUUGCUGAUUAAGGUAUGUUUAGGAAUUAUAUUUUCAUAAUUUGGGUACAAAAACCCUAAAUUAGAUAUAUUUUCUUAUUUUUUUUAUUUAAAUCCGGUACUUUUCUGAUGACUUUUCAGUAGCAUGAUGGGUACCAAUGGAAAGGUCUUGAAAAGAUCUUUCCAAUGGUUUUUGUAGCAUCUUGUUUGGGCUUAUGGUUAGGAAUAUAUGAAUUUUUGAAGUUAAUUAGAAAUCUGGUUUUCAACAGUUUUGACAGCCCGACUUUGGGUCACCGGAACUCCAUAUUUCGGUGACGUUUUUGGUCGUUUCUUUGAGGGCUUUUGAAGUAUGAAAUUAGAUGUUUAAUUUGGCGUCAAUGUCUUGGUUAGAGGCUUCCUGUGUUAAGAGAAUUAAAGCCUCAAAGUAGGCUCAUUGAUACUGGAAACUCAGAAAUCUGGGUAUUUCUGUGAUGAUUUCUUGAAUUUUGGCUUUCGAAACUUAGGAAUCUUGUGGUCUUUUUAAUCGAAACAAAUUUUGGUCUUGUAGUAUGAUAUGCAUACUUUAAAUUGGUGUUGAUUUCAUCACUGGAUAUAAUUCGGGUUAAAAGAUAUGAGAGCUUGAAGUAAGCCAAAUGGCCAUCCAGAUUCUGGAAAUUCCAGAAAACAGAAAAUUUCUUUUUUUAAAUUUGUUUUAAAAAUUGAUUUUAAUUAUUAUGUGAUAAAUUCUAUUGUAAAUUUCAUAAAUAUUGGAUAUGUGAUUUCUACUGUAUUUUUAUGUUAAGAAGUAUGUAUCUUUAUACUUUAUAAAUUUAUUUCUUAAAUUAGUAGAUUUUAUUAAAAUAUCAAAAUUUAUGAAAUUAAUUACAAAUAUGAUUUUUACAAGUGAAAUUAGUAUUAUUUCUCUAUCUGAAAUUUAAAGUCCUUACUGAUUUUAUGAUUUAAGUUUAAUUCUCAACCUUAUUGGAAAUUUUGUUUAAUUCAAAAAUAUAAAUAAUAAUAAUAUAUUACCUUAUUAACAAAAAAAAAAAAUUCAUAAAUUGUAAUAGGAGUCGCUACACACUCUAAGUACUUAGGAUGGUCAACGAAAAGUCGCCUUGUAGAAUCUGUUUGCAAAUUUAGUUCUGAUUUUUGUGUUUCUCGAAAUACUAGGCUACUAAGAGGAUUUUCGGAUUUGCUACUUGAAAGUAAAAUUUACGAGAUCAUGUAAGUGACUGAUAUCCCUUCGGUGUUUUCACACCUUAAAAAUUAGCUUCAAUCUGAAUUUGUACAUGAGAUAUAAUAUUUUGUCCUAUGAUUUAUUAAAAUUGGGUUGAGCAUGCAAAAUGUAUAUGUAUAUAAGUUUAUAUGUUAGAUUUAGAAUGUGGUUUAUGCAAAACGUGAUUUCUGAAUUGGAAAUUUGGAUAUGACUUUGUAUGAUGUAUGCAUAUAUGUUUUCACGAAUAUAAAUAUAAAUAUUUAGUCUGAAACGAAUAUGCUUUUGAGGUGUAUGAGAUAUACUUGAGAAAUUUGAUAUACUGGUUUAUGAACUUUGGGUAAUCUAAAAAUAUAUAUAUUUCUGUUUUGUCUCCUAGCAUGGCUAUGCUCUGACCCUGCCAAUGGGGGUUAAAUGUUGGCCAUGUUGACAUGUAUUCUGUGAUUAGAGAUCGAUCUCCCAACCGCACCACCGGUUACAGAAUAGUGGUAUCUGUGAUAUCUGUUCAGUGCAGCCAAUGGUUGCUUCUUCUGACCCAUGCCACUGGGGUUAAUUGUGGUUCUAUUUCUGACCUAUGCCACAGGGGUUAAGUGUGGUCGUAGCAUGUUACAGGAGACCAUUAAAAGUUAAAUAUGGUGAAUAUAUUUGUUUUGUUAUUUGAAUGCGCAAAUUUUGAAAUAUGUGAUUCCAAAUAAGAUUACCCAAUAUUUUGUCUUGGCAUUUGUAAAUGAUAUUUUGCCCUGAAUGUUUUAAGCAUGCUUAAUCCGGCUGAAGGGAUGUUAGUUACUUGCUGAGUAGUUGGACUCACCCCUUCCUUCAAAUUUUUUUCAAGUUGUGAUUUGGUCAACCACGCGGGAACUUUGGGGAGUGAUGUUUAAUUUAGUAGCACUUAAAUUAUCUAGGAUUUAUUUAAAUAUUAUGAACAUCGUACUAUCUUAAUUAGUAUUCAGACUUUUAUCUUGACUUAGUAGCUUCAUGGUUUUGGAGAUUUAAUUUUGAAUAUUGUCGAAUUAUGAUAUUUGGAAAUUCUGUCAACAGAUAUAGUUUAUAAAUCACUAAAUUUUUCAGGUAUAUCAGUCUCUUUUAGUAAUAGUUUAAGAUAUAUAUUUUAGAGCCUUGCAUGUCUGUAGGAUUAUGCCUUACAGGUAUGCGGCGUCUGUCAUGUCUCGGGUCUGGGGCGUGACAAAUAAACAAGACAAUAAUCAAUAGGUAACCUUCUCAGAACAGCAACAUAAAUCACAGCAAGGCAAACAAUAAACUCAAAACAGUAAACCACAAACACCACCGCAAAAGAACAAGUAAGACUAAGAAACAUGUCUUGAGUCCUAUUUCUUGUUCUUACUUCUCCUGGGACCGUUCAAGGGGCAGAAUUCCUCUUGACCUCUCAUUUCUUGUCACCAUGGUGCUAAGAAGUUAAGGAAAGUUGCAAUCUUAUUUGCCAGAAUCCAGAACACUCUAAAUUUUGUUAAGAAGAAGUCAAAGAACUAGUGCUACUGAGAAGGUUCUACAAAGAAUGCAUGUUAGGACUAGUUGUCAAUCAAUUUGUCUUCAUAGGACCUGAAAUAUUGUGGACCUUAACCCUUCAUGAGAAUGUCUUGGCAUCGCGCAAGCAAAUAUUUUCCCAUUGGUAACCAUCUAGUCUAAGCUUCAAGUUCAGGGCCUUCCUUCAAGUCAAUGGAUUAGUUUUAACAAUUGCGACUGGAUUGUCAUUAUAUAAAUUGUAAACGAUAUGCAACUAUUUCAAUGAGAAAGAGCAAUCUUUAAGAAAAGACUAUUUUUUUAACAAGCUUUUCUAAAUAUAUCGGUUUCACUAGAUUUCUAUUAGACAACUGAUAAGAUCUUUUUCAAAUUUUUAUAAUGCAUUCUGCUCUAAACAAUAAUCUGAUCAAAUUCUAUCCAUCUUGAUAAUCUCUAACAAGAAAUAUUGUUACAUGAAGACACGAGCGUUAUGUGUGUUAACCUUCCUUGAAUUUGACUUCUUAAUUUCGAUUUUGGUGAAUACUUCUGUUAAUUAUGAUUAACAAUUAUAAUUUGUGAAUCUAAAUAUGAAAAGUUUUCUAAUUGGAUGUAAACUUUGACAUAUUAUCAUCGAAGAUCGUUUCAAGAUUUAAUUUUUAAAUUUAAGUUAAUAUCUACCAUACCAUCUCGAAUUUGACGAUAUAUUAACAUAAUUAUAAUAAUUGUAGAAAUUAUAAGUUAAAUUAAGAUGAUUGUGUUAAAUUACAAUAUCAUUUUCAUACUGUUAACUUAUUCUUUUUUGAAUUAUUAAAAAUUUCUUACAAAUGUAUACCUUUAAAUCAUUAAAAAUCCCUUACAAAUGUAUGCAUUAUUAAACGUUUUGUGAAGGCACAAUCAAGAAUACAAUAUUUCUCUUUGAAUUAUAGAUAUAGAAAAUGCCAAUUUUUUUACUCAAAAUUAGGACCUUCAUUUUAAAUUAUAUUUUACUUGUAAAAUAGAACUACAAAAUAUAACCAAUAAGAACCUUAUGAAAUAGAAACUGCCAUAACUAAUUGAAAAUUUAUUUCAUACGAUACCUAAUACAUAUCAAAAACCAAUUCUUUUGCAAAACAAUAACCAGUGAUCAUGUCUUGAAACAAAAACUAUCAUAAUUGUAAGAAUAACCAAAGACUACUCAGAAUGAUUUGGGUUUAUUUUAAUGAGAAGUUUGGAAUAUUCAGUCGACUAUGGACAUUAGUAUUGGAUGUUGCAAUCUGUUCAACAUUAUGCUCUAUUAUAUGUUUCCUGAGUGGCUUAUGGUUAGAUAUGUCAUCAUCACCUACCAAUUUUUUAACUACUCUUCUUUAUUUUCUCUUCAACAAGUUAGCCGGUGUUGCGAUUUUAAGAACUUUAUGAAUGAACAAGUAAGAAAUAGGAAGAGCAAAAAGCUCUAAGAUAGGAUUUUAUCUUCAUAGACCAGAAAAUAUAAUUCUCCCUUAUAAAGAUCGGUGGAACUGAAGUAUCAAAUCCUGAAGUAGCCAUUGAGUAUAAACGAAAAUCAAAGGAUGAUUUGAAAGCAAAGGAAACGUUGAGGAAUUAAUGAAAACGGUCCCUUAAUAUCAAGCAAAAUGCUCUGAUAUCAUGUUAAAAAAAUAGCAAUUUUCUAAAAUAAAUAUAUGAACAAAUAUAGAAGAAAGAAAUCGAGAGAGAUGUGAGAGAACAAAAAAAACUAUUAGACACUAAAUGACAAAAAGCUCCAACUCACUAUUAAAUCAUAUGCCUUUUGUUUAUAUACAUAGAGGAGAGAGAGAGUAAAUGACAGCUCACAAGAAAACAAACACCUGGCUAUACCAAGACUACCAAAAAAGUUUUGCGUUGGAGACUGCAAAAUAUUUCUUUCUGACAGCUCACGAAAACAGAGGAACAAAAAACAAAAUGGUAGGACAAUUUUGCUACUUUGAAGAAACAUCUAGAAAUAUAAAAAAUGACACUAGUAAUAAACUAAAUGACAUAGCAUUUAAUCAAGGCAUAUGUAAAUCACGUGCUUUUCUUCUUCUUUCGUGAACCUCAACCACAAAACCAGUUGUCACGCCCCUGACCAGAUACAUGACAGACGCCGCAUACCUAUAAGGUAUAAUCCUACAGAUAUGCAAGGCUACAAAAUAUAUAUCUUAAACCAUUACUAAAAGAGACUGAUACACUUGAAGAAUUUAGUGAUUUAUAAACUAUAUCUGUCGAUAGAAUUUUCAAAGAUCAUAAUUCGACAAUAUUCAAAAUUAAAUCUCCAAAACCAUAAAUCUACUAAGUGAAGAUAAAAGUCUGAAUACUAAUUAAGAUAGUUCGAUGUUCAUAAUAUUUAAAUAAAUCCUAAAUAAUUUAAGUGCUACUAGAUUAAACAUCACUCCCCGAAAUUUUCACGUGGUUGACCAAAUCACAACCUGAAAAAAAUUUGAAGGAAGGAGUGAGUCCAACUACUCAGUAAGUAACUAACAUCGCUUCAGCCGGAUUAAGCCUGCUUAAAACAUUUAGGCCAAAAUAUAUCAUUUACAAAUGCCGAGACAAAAUAUUGGGUAAUCUUAUUCAGAAUCAUAUACUUCAAAAUUUGCACAUUCAAAUAACAAAACAAUUAUAUUCAUAAUAUUUAACUUUUAAUGGUCUCCCGUAACAUGCUACGACCACACUUAACCCCUGUGGCAUAGGUCAAAAUUAAGACCACAAUUAACCCCGGUGUUGCGGGUCAAAAGAAGCAACCAUUGGCUGCAUUGAACAGAUAUCACAGAUACCACUAUUCUGUAACCAGUGGUGCGGUUGGGAGAUCGCUCUCUAAUCACAGAAUACAUGUCGACAUGGCCAACAUUUAACCCCCAUUGGCAGGGUCAGAGCAUAGCCAUACUAGGAGACAAAACAUAAAUAUAUAUUUUUAGAUUACCCAAAGUUCAUAAAACAGUAUAUCAAAUUUCUCAAGCAUAUCUCAUACAUCUCAAAAGCAUAUUCGUUUUAGACUAAAUAUUUAUGUUUAUAUUCACGAAAACAUAUAUGCAAACAUUAUACAAAGUCAUAUAUAAAUUUCGAAAUCAGAUAUCAUGCUUUGCAUAAGCAACAUUCUAAAUCCAACAUACAAACUCAUAUACAUAUACAUUUUGCAUGCUGAACCCGAUUUUAAUAAAUCAUAGGACAAAAUAUUAUAUCUCAUGUACAAAUUCAAAUUGAGGCUAAUUUUUAAGGUGUGAAAAUACCGAAGGGAUAUCAGUCACUUACCUGAUCUCGUUAAUUUCACUUUCAAGUAGCAAAUCUGAAAAUCCUCUUAGUAGCCUAACAUUUCGAGAAACACAUACAUACAAAAAUCAUAACUGAGUUUGCAAACAAAUCCUACAAGGUGACUUUUCGUUGACCAUCCUAAGCACUUAGGGUGUGUAGCGACUUUUAUUACAAUUUAAAAAUAUUUUUGCUUAAUAGGAUAAUAUUUUAUAAUAUAUAUAUUUUUGAAUUAAACAAAAUUUCCAAUAAGGUUGAGAAUUAAACUUAAAUUAUAAAAUCAAUAAGGAUUUUAAUUUCAGAGAGAGAAAUAACACUAAUUUCACUUGUAAAAAUCAUAUUUAAAAUGAUUAAUUUCAUAAAUUUUGAUAUUUUAAUAAAAUCUACUAAUUUAAGAAAUAAAUUUAUAAAAUGUAAAUAUAUAUACUUUUAGAUAUAAAAAUAUAAUAGAAAUCACAUAUCCAGUAUUUUUUAAGUUUACAACAGAAUUUAUCAUAUAUUAAUUAAAAUUGAAUUUAAAAAAAAUUAAAAAGAUUAAAAGAAUUUUUUUUCUGGAAUUUUCAGAAUCCAGAUGGCCAUUUGGGCUACUUUAUGAACUUGUAACUUUUAACUCGAAAAUUUUCCAGUGAUGAAAUCAAUACCAAUAUGAAUUAUUCAUAUCAUACUAUAACACCAAAAUUUUUUUCGAUUAAAAAGAACACCAAAUUCUCAAGUUUCGAAAGCCAAAUUUCUCAAAAUCGUCAUAAAAAUACCCAGCUUUCUGGGUUUCCAGUAUCAACGAGCCUAAUUUGAGGUUUCAAUUCUCUUAACACAUGAAGCUUCUAACUGAGCCAUUGACUCCAAAUUAAACAUCUAAUUUUAUACUACAAAAGCCCUCAAAGAAAAGACCAAAAACGUUGCCGGAAUAUGGAGUUCCGGUGACCCAAAGUCGGGCUGUCAAAACUGUUGAAAACCAGAUUUUUAAUUAACUUCAAAAAUUCAUAUCUUCCUAACCAUAAGGCCAAAUAAGAUGUUACAAAAACCUUUGGAAAGAUCUUUUCAAGACCUUUCCAUUGGUACUCAUCAUGCCACCGGAAAGUCAUCAAAAAAGUGUCGGACUUGAAUAAAAGGUAAGGGAAUACAAAUAAUUCAGGGCCUUUUGUGUGCCCAAAUUAUGAAAAUAUAAUCCCAAACAUGCCUUAAUCAGUAAUCUCCUUCCCUUUUCUCUGUCUUUCUUCUUCCCUGAUAUCAAGCUCUUCUGACUGCCUGUUGUUUGAGUCUGAUGAACAAACAGACAUGUGUUUCUGUCUAUUCUUAAACUAACUUAUCCACUAAUUUAAACGUGAAAUAAACUGACCCUUAAUCCCACUAACUUAAACGUGAGAAAUAAACUGACUUUAAUUAAACUUCUUUAUUUACUAAAAGACCCUUUCUUUUAUUUCCUAAUUAUUAAAGCACCAAAGGUCAUAACUGUAAAUAAAUAAAAUACUAAAUAAUAUCUACUUAUUAUCUUUAUAAAACUAUAGCUUAAUAAAUUUAAAUGUUUUAUAUUAAAUACUUUGUGAGGGGUAUUACAUCCUUCCUUCCUUAAAAGGAGUUUAGUCCCUUAAACUCUUACCUUGGUCCUCAAAAAGGUGGGGAUACUUCUCUUUGAUAUUUUCUUCCAACUCCCAAGUCGCUUCUCGUUCUGUAUGAUUACUCCAUUGGACCUUAACAUAGAGAAUAGUCCGCCUUCUUAGAAUUUGCUCCUUUCUAUCCACAAUACGUAUAGGACGCUCAUCAUACGACAAAUCUUCUCUGAGUCUCAAAGGAGCUAACUCUACAACAUGACCAGGAUCCGAAAUAUACUUUCUCAACAAAGAAACAUGAAACACGUUAUGCACUCCCGAUAAAACAGGUGGAAGUGCCAACCUAUAAGCCACAUCAGCAACCUUAUCCAAAAUCUCAAACGGACCCACAUAACGAGGACUAAGUUUUCCUCGAAUUCCAAAUCGCAUUACUCCUCUAGUAGGUGAAACUCGCAAGAAGACAUGAUCUCCAACCUCAAAUUCUAACCUCCUUCUUCUAUUGUCCGCAUAACUUUUCUAUCUACUUUGAGCCGCACGAAGAUGUUCUAUGAUUAAUUGAACCUUCUCAACUGCUUGCUGAAUAAGAUCUGGACCUAAUAACUGUCUUUCACCCACAUCAUCCCAACAAAGAGGUGAUCUACACUUCCUACCAUACAAAGCUUCAAAUGGAGCCAUUUGGAUACUAGAUUGAUAGUUAUUAUUAUAAGCAAAUUUUGCCCACAACAAGUGUCGAUCCCAAGAACCCCCAAAAUCCAUGACACAAGCUCUCAACAUGUCCUCAAGAAUUUGAUUAAUUCUCUCAGACUGACCAUCUGUUUGGGGAUGAUAAGCAGUACUAAAAUUAAGUCUGGUACCCAAAGCUUUAUGCAGACUCUCCCAAAAUUUUGCCACAAAUCAAGAAUCUCGAUCAGAUACAAUGGACACUAGUACCCCAUGUAGUCUCACAAUCUGCUCCACAUACAACUCUGCUAACUUUUCCAACGACAUUCUCGUACGAAUAGCCAAGAAGUGAGCAGACUUUGUUAAUCUAUCCACAAUCACCCAGAUGCCAUCAUUACCUUUUGGGGUUCUUGGUAAACCAGAUAUAAAGUCCAUAGUAAUUCGUUCCCAUUUCCAUUCUGGAAUAGGGAGGGGUUGCAACAAUCCUGCUGGCCUCUAAUGUUCAGCCUUGACUUGUUGACAUGUCAAAUAUUUGGCUACAAACUGUGGAAUCUCCUUCUUCAUAUUGCUCCACCAAAAAGUGUUCUUCAAAUCUUUAUACAUCUUGGUACCUCCAGGAUGGAUUGUAUAAUUACUAUAAUGAGCUUCCUCCAAAAUUUCUCUCUUCAAUUCUGCAUCAUCAGGGACACAAAUCCUAUCACCAACCUCAAAGAGCCAUCAUCAUGAAUUUUAAAGUCUGGUUUCAAACCAGAUUCAACCCCAAGUUUAAUGUGCUGAAGUCGAGGAUCAUUUACUUGGGCUGUCUUAAUUCGGUGAAUCAAAGUUGGCUGUACUCGUAUGUUAGCCAAUAAUGCACCAAAACCAUGCAUACGUACACCAAUAUCCAUCCUCCGCAAGUCUUCCAAAAUCUAUUUCUGGGAAGUAAUCGUUGCAGCCAUAUUCCCAGAAGUCUUCCUACUUAAAGCAUCAACAACUUUAUUCGCCUUACCUGAAUGGUAAUUGAUGGUCAAGUCAUAAUCCUUCAACAAUUCUAAUCAUCUUCUCUGUCGCAUAUUCAUUUCCUUCUACUUGAAAAGAGACUUCAAACUUUUAUGAUCUGUAAAGACCUCACAAGAAUCACCAUACAGAUAAUGUCGUCAAAUCUUUAAGGCGAAAACCACCGCAGCCAACUCCAAAUCAUGAGUAGGAUAAUUCUCCUCAUAAGGUUUCAACUACCUAGAAGCAUAAGUAAUCACCUUAUCAUCUUGCAUAAGAACACACCCAAGUCCCUUUUUGGAAGCGUCACUGUAAACAACAAAUCCCUUACCACUAGUAGGUAUGGUAAGUAUAAGAGCGGAUACUAAUCUUUUCUUUAACUCCUCAAAGCUCCUUUCACAGUCAUUUGUCCACUCGAAGCGAACCUCUUUCCGUACCAAUCGGUCAAAAGCAAAGCCCAGAAAACUGUGAAUCUUUGAAACAUUAUUUGGUCGCUUCCAAGUCACCACUACUUCAACUUUCUUUAAAUCCACCGAAAUCCCAUCCUUUGACACCACAUGCCCAAGGAAAGCAACACUAGAAAGCCAGAAAUCACAUUUUUUCAAUUUAGUAAACAAUUGCUUCUGCCUCAAAGUCUCCAAAACAACCCUUAAAUACUUUUCAUGAUCUGUUGAGCUAGGGGAAUACACUAGAAUAUCAUCAAUAAAAACAACCACAAACUUAUCCAAAUAAGGUUUGAAAACCUUAUUCAUCAAGUCCAUAAAAGUAGCUGGAGCAUUUGUCAACCCAAAAGGCAUAACAAGGAACUCAUAAUGCCCAUAUCGGGUACGAAAAGCAGUUUUAGGGACAUCUUCAAUUCUCACCUUCAACUGAUGGUAACCAAACCGAAAAUCAAUUUUGGAGAACACCUAAGCGCCUUUUAAUUGAUCAAACAAAUCAUCUAUCCGAGGUAAAUGAUACCUAUUCUUCACAGUUGCCUUGUUUAACUCUCGAUAAUCAAUGCACAACCUCAUACUCUCAUCCUUUUUCUUUACAAAUAACACUGGAGCUCCCCAAGGAGAUACACUAGGUCUAAUAAAGCCAUUAUCAAGAAGUUCUUGUAACUACUCUUUCAACUCCUUCAAUUCUGCAGGAGCCAUUCUAUAAGGAGCUUUAGAAAUAGGACCAGUUCCUAGAACCAAAUCAAUAGAGAAAUCAAUCUCCCUAUCAAGAGGUAAAUUAGGUGGAUCUUCAGGAAAAACAUCAGGAAAUUCCCUCACAAUAGGAAUCUCUUCAAUCCUCAACUCCUUCAUUCUAGUGUCUGUAACAGUUGCCAAAAAUCCUUUACAACCACAAGCAAGCAAUCGCCUAGCUUUCAAAGCAGAGAUGAUUCACAAAUGAGUGUAAAUACCACUACCACAAAAAUAAAAAGGUGUUUCCCCAAGGAUCUUAAAGUCCACCCUUUUCCCUCGACAGUCAACUUUGGCAAAGUUUGCAACUAACCAAUCCAUCCCCAAAAUUACAUCAAAAUCUUGCAUAUUUAAAACAUGAAGAUCUGCAAGCAAUUCUCUAUCAUCAAUCCUUACCACACACAUCUUACAAAUCUAAUCUGACAUAAUUUCACCUCUAACUAGAGUGUCUACGCAUAAUUCAUAAUCCAGAAGCAUACAAGGCAAAGUAAACUUUCGAACAAAUGCAACAGAUACAAAAGAAUGAGAUGCACCGGUAUCAAACAACACAUGAGCAAAAGCUGAGGCAACUAGCAGUGUACCUGAGACAACGGUGUUGGAUGCCUCUACAUUUGACUGAGUGAUAGCAUAACCACGCCCCUGAGUGCGAGGUCUUCCCAUUUUUUGAUGUCUAGAAGAAGGUGCUUGCGUAGUCUGAACAACAUGAGUGGGCUGAGUCCUUUGCGCUGUAGUUUCAAAGGUUCGAGAGUUUUGUGGCUUCUGCACAGAUUGACAUUCUGGGAGGACUAAAGGACAAUAAGCAAUACGAUGGCCCAAUUGGCCACAUCUAAAACAAGCACCAGUAACACGCUUAUAUUCAGUAGCUUGAUGUCCUCCACCACACACUGAACACCUAAGCCCUUGUUGGGAUGUCUUGCCAUGGUACGAUUGAGUUCUCCAAGGAGGAAGUCUAUCCUUAAAAGUAGCGAAAUCUCGAGACUUUUCAGUAGUUUGAAAUUUAGAAGGACUACUAAAAGCUCUCUUACCUCGAAAGUCUGAAUCUUUGCCCUUUUUUUUCUGAAAAUCUUUCCUUGCCUCUUAAGUCUCUCUCCAUAUAGCAUCUAAGGAUUUUGCCCUACCAACCACUUCAUUGUAGCUGAUCAAGUGCAAUGGAGCUAAGCCUCUGUGGAUGUGAGCAUUCAAACCAUUUUCGAACCUCCUGGCCCUACUCUCAUCGUCAGAAACUAGAGCAGUGACAAACUUGGAAAACCGAUCAAACUCAGCCUCAUAGUCAUCCACUGUCAUACUGCCCUUAACCAGAUUAAGGAACUCUCUCUCCAACUGUAACAGCUUGCUUCGAGGGAAAUACUUGGCAUAAAAAGUAAUGCAAAAAUUCUCCCAAUUGAAGAACUCAGGGUCAUUGUCAUGAGUGCGCGUUACUCCUUUCCACCAAUUAUGUGCACUUCCUUGUAAUAGAUAGACUGCGAAUCUAAUUUUGUCUUGAUCACUGGAACGCAUGGCAACAAAAGCUUUCUCCAUCUCCUCAAUCCAUAAUUCUGCAUCAUCCGGGUUUAUGGAACCCUUGAAAGGAGGAGGGGCUAUCUUUAAACUCACCUAAAGCCUUCCAGUUAGAAGAAUUGUCAACCUGUUGGACCGGUUGUAGGCAUUGUCGUUCUCCCUAACCAAACCAGCUACCUCCUGUAUCAAGUUCAACACUCUAUCAUCAUGUCCAGCCACAACACCUUGUGUCCCCUCAAUCGGGUUUGUAAGAGGUCGGUCAAUUUCAACGGCCAUAUGAGCAUAUGAUGUUUCAACAUCAUCUUGAUUUUGGCUUAGAGGAUUUGGAAUUCUCUCAUAACGAGACCUCCUAACACCAACUACUCUAGCACUAGCCACAAGUUCAGCGAGAUUAGGCUCGCGGUCUCGAUGAGGAGGCAUACUGAUUUUUUAUAACAAGAAAAAUUAACAUUAACAUUUUUUUUUACACUAACACAAAGCAACCAUAAAAGUAUAACAAACAUGAAUUGAGAGAAAACGUCCCAAUCCUUUUUUUUUUUUACCCAUCUCUCGAACCUCGCACAAGUGUUAUGUAACUACAUAAUUAUGCCUAACCUGGCUCUGAUACCACUAAAUCUAUCACGCCUCUGAUCCGAGAUAUGACAGACGCCACAUACCUGCAAGGUAUAAUCCUACAAACAUGCAAGGCUUUAAAAUAUAUAUCUUAAACCAUUACUAAAAGAGACUGAUAUACUUGAAGAAUUUAGUGAUUUAUAAACUAUAUCUGUCGAUAGAAUUUUCAAAGAUCAUAAUUCGACAAUAUUCAAAAUUAAAUCUCCAAAACCAUAAAGCUACUAAGCCAAGAUAAAUGUCUGAAUACUAAUAAAGAUAGUUCGAUGUUCAUAAUAUUUAAAUAAAUCCUAAACAAUUUAAGUGCUACUAGAUUAAACAUCACUCCUCGAAAUUCCCGCGUGGUUGAUCAAAUCACAACCNUGAAAAAAUUUUGAAGGAAGGAGUGAGUCCAACUACUUAGCAAGUAACUAACAUCCCUUCGGCCGGAUUAAGCAUGCUUAAAACAUUUAAGCCAAAAUAUAUCAUUUACAAAUGUCGAGACAAAAUAUUGGAUAAUCUUAUUCAAAAUCAUAUACUUCAAAAUUUACGCAUUCAAAUAACAGAACAAUUAUAUUCACAAUAUUUAACUUUUAAUGGUCUCUCGUAACAUGCUACGACCACACAUAACCCCUGUGGCAUAGGUCAAAAAUAAAACCACAAUUAACCCCGGUGGUACAGGUCAGAAGAAGCAACCAUUGGCUACACUGAACAGAUAUCACAGAUACCACUAUUCUAUAACCGGUGGUGCGGUUGGGAGAUCGCUCUCUAAUCACAGAAUACAUGUCGACAUGACCAACAUUUAACCCCCAUUAGCAAGAUCAAAGCAUAGCUAUACUAGGAGACAAAACAUAAAUAUAUAUUUUUAGAUUAUCCAAAGUUUAUAAAACAGUAUAUCAAAUUUCUAAAGCAUAUCUCAUACACCUCAAAAGCAUAUUCGUUUCAGACUAAAUAUUUAUAUUUAUAUUCACAAAAACAUAUAUGCAUACAUUAUACAAAGUCAUAUAUAAAUUUCGAAAUCAGAUAUCAUGCUUUGCAUAAGCAACAUUCUAAAUCCAACAUACAAACUCAUAUACAUAUACAUUUUGCAUGCUGAACCCGAUUUUAAUAAAUCAUAGGACAAAAUAUUAUAUCUCAUGUACAAAUUCAAAUUGAGGUUAAUUUUUAAGGUGUGAAAACAUCGAAGGGAUAUCAGUCACUUACCUGAUCUCGUUAAUUUCACUUUCAAGUAGCAAAUCUGAAAAUCUUCUUAGUAGCCUAACAUUUCGAGAAACACAUACAUACAAAAAUCAUAACUGAGUUUGCAAACAGAUCCUACAAGGUGACUUUCCGUUGACCAUCCUAAGCGCUUAGGAUGUGUAGCGACUUCUAUUACAAUUUAGAAAUAUUUUUGCUUAAUAAGAUAAUAUUUAUAAUAUAUAUAUUUUUGAAUUAAACAAAAUUUCCAAUAAGGUUGAGAAUUAAACUUAAAUUAUAAAAUCAAUAAGGAUUUUAAUUUCAGAGAGAGAAAUAACACUAAUUUCACUUGUAAAAAUCAUAUUUAUAAUUUUUCAGAAAAUUUUGAUAUGUUAAUAAAAUUUACUAAUUUAAGAAAUAAAUUUAUAAAAUGUAAAUAUAUAUACUUUUAGAUAUAAAAAUAUAAUAGAAAUCACAUAUCCAGUAUUUUUUAAGUUUACAACAGAAUUUAUCAUAUAUUAAUUAAAAUCGAAUUUAAAAAAAAUUAAAAAGAUUAAAAGAAUUUUUUUUUCUGAAAUUUUCAGAAUCGAGAUGGCCAUUUGGACUACUUUAUGAACUUGUAACUUUUAACUCGAAAAUUUUCCAGUGAUGAAAUCAAUACCAAUAUGAAGUAUUCAUAUCAUACUACAACACCAAAAUUUUUUUUGAUUAAAAAGACUACAAAAUUCUCAAGUUUCGAAAGCCAAAUUUCUCAAAAUCGUCACAAAAAUACCCAGCUUUUUGGGUUUCCAGUAUCAAUGAGCCUAUUUUGAGGCUUCAAUUCUCUUAACACAGGAAGCUUCUAACUGAGCCAUUGACUCCAAAUUAAACAUCUAAUUUCAUACUACAAAAGCCCUCAAAGAAACGACCAAAAACGUUGCCGGAAUAUGGAGUUCCGGUGACCCAAAGUCAGGCUGUCGAAACUGUUGAAAACUAGAUUUCUAAUUAACUUCAAAAAUUCAUAUCUUCCUAACCACAAGGCCAAACAAGAUGCUACAAAAACCAUUGGAAAGAUCUUUUAAAGACCUUUCCAUUGGUACCCAUCAUGCCACCGGAAAGUCAUCGAAAAAGUGCCGGACUUGAAUAAAAGUUAAGGGGAUACAAAUAAUUCAGAGCCUUUUGUGCCCAAACUAUGAAAAUAUAAUCCCAAACAUACCUUAAUCAGUAAUUUCUUUCCCUUUUCUCUGUCUUUCUUCUUUCAUGAUAUCAAGCUCUUCUGACUGCCUGUUGUUUGAGUCUGAUGAACAAACAGACGUGAGUUUCUAUCUAUUCUUAAACUAGCCUAUCCACUAACUUAAACGUGAAAUAAAUUGAUUCUUAAUCCCACUAACUUAAACGUGAGAAACAAACUGACUUUAAUUAAACUUUUUUAUUCACUAAAAGACCCCUUCUUUCAUUUCCUAAUUAUUAAAGCACCAAAGGUUAUAAUUGUAAAUAAAUAAAAUACUAAAAUAAUAUCUACUUAUUAUUUUUAUAAAACUAUAGCUUAAUAAAUUUAAAUGUUUUAUAAUAAAUACUUUGUGAGGGGUAUUACACCAGUGAAGUACUUUCCUUCCAGAAACAAAAGCCAAUAUUUCAACAAAUCCACUUCCAGUUCAAUAUAGGGAAAACUAAGGUUGUCGCCUUUGCUGGUCUCAACAGCCAAAAUGCAGGGGUUAUAACUAGAAAAAAUUGUGAGAAAUAACUUUCUUCAUAAGAUCAAUUCAAAAAUAUCAUUUUUUUUUAUAAUUUUAACUAUUUUGGUCAAUUUUUGGCAUAACUUGACAAUAAUACCCCUUAAACAAUUUCAGACAAAUUAAAAUAAUUUCAGUUUUCUCUCUCCCGCCAUACGGAUAAAAAUUUCAAAAUUAAAUCUCGAUUUCUCUCUUUACUCAAAUAUGUCUAUCUCGUCAUCCAAUUUGUAGAGAUGACAUCAAGCUCUUUCUUAUUUUGUUUUAUUUUUUUAGAUAGUGGAUCUUGGGGUUCUUAAGGGCGAUGAACAGCGAUUUUGCUCUUUGCAGAUAGCGAUUUUGCUUAGGGAGAAAAAACAUCUAAAGUAUGUUUGAUGGGUUUUAUAGUGUUUCACAGUUUUGUUCUGUUUGGGAUUAAGAUAAUUGUUAAGCAUGUUUGCUAGGGAUUUUAAUUUUUUUUAUGGGAUUUUGAGUUGAAACUAUUCAGGAAAUAUUUUGUAAAUAGGGUAUAUUUUGUUUUUGUAUAAGGGAAGUGAGCAAGGCCUCCAAAUAGGGAUAUAUUUUCUCUUGCUUUGGAGAGUUAUGGAGUUUUGCAACCUAUCUUUUAUGAAAUACACAAUUCCAUAGCUUAGUAAAAAAAAAGUAUUUGUUUUAGGUUUUUGAGUUUAUUGGUUUAUUCAUAGAACCCUAAAAUUGAGAAGUUGAAAUUGAUUAGAUUGGUUUUUAAGUAUUAUGAGAUUAGUUUUUAGGUAUUGCGUGACUUAAUCACUGUGUGACUUGUUUUUAGGCAUUACGUGAUUGGUUUUAAGUAUUACGUGAUCGAAUUUUAAACAUUGCAUGAAUGAUUUUUAAACAAUGCCUAAGUUACACAAUGCCUUACUAACAAGUCACGCAAUACCUAUCAACUAGUCACGCAAUGCCUUAUCAGAAGCUAGUCAUGCAAUGCCUUAUCAAAAACUAGUCACGCAAUACCCAAAGUUAGUCAUGCGAUGCCUAUCAACUAGUCACGCAAUGCCUAUCAACUAGUCAUGCAAUGCCUUAUCAGAAACUAGUCACGCAAUGCUUUAUCAAAAACUAGUCACGAAAUGCCCAAAGUCAAUCACGUAAUGCCCAAAGUGAGUCACGUAAUGCCUAUCAACUAGUCACACAAUGCCUUAUCAGAAACUAGUUACGCAAUGCCUUAUCAAAAACUAGUCACGCAAUGCCCAAUGUCAGUCACGCAAUAUCUAAAGUCAGUCACGCAAUACCUAAAAACUAGUCACGUAAUUCUCAAAAAUUACCAAAACUACUGAAUUCCAUUAACAAGAUCAACAACUUCAAAUGAUCCACUAUAUUCCAUUUAACAAUAUAAUUAAUGAAUAUGAAUGCUCAAAAUGUUCAAAAGUUUUUUUUCAUAUGUCAAAAAUCACUCUAAAAUGCUUAAAAAUGCUCAAAACGCUCACAGGUUUUCUUCGUGUAUCAAAAACAACUCCAAAAUGCUCAAAAUGCUUAGAUAUUUUUCUUUCUGAUAAGGAAUACUCCAGAGAUAAAUAGUUUGAUGAAGAAAGCUCAAAAAAUAUGAAUCAGUUUAAGGCGCAAACCUAAACAUACUUGACUCGUUAAUAGGUUUUGUGUUGAGACGCGAAGUCAAAUAAACGGGUCGAUUUUAUUAAGGGUAAUUUUGUCUGAAUUUUAAUUCUCUUGGUUAAAAAUAGUUAAAAUUAUAAAGAGAUCUAUUGUUAAAAACACAUUAUGCAUAGGGCCCAUUUAAAAAAAGAACCCUUUGCUAAGGCCGUCUUUGGCUCACACCCACCAAUCAAUCCGGAUGUUCUCACAAAGGCCUUCAAGUUGGACAAGAGUGUGGUCACAUAUCUUCAGUCCCGGUUCUAGUCAGAUUAAAAACUAAUUUAAGAGCCAAAUCAAAACCCAGAAGUUUGUUACUUGUUUUGAAUAAUGUUGCCAUUAAUUUUCUACAUGAAAGUCAUAUCGUUCUACUUACUGUAAUACAAUAAACAGGCUNNNNNNNNNNNNNNNNNNNNNNNNNNNNNNNNNNNNNNNNNNNNNNNNNNNNNNNNNNNNNNNNNNNNNNNNNNNNNNNNNNNNNNNNNNNNNNNNNNNNNNNNNNNNNNNNNNNNNNNNNNNNNNNNNNNNNNNNNNNNNNNNNNNNNNNNNNNNNNNNNNNNNNNNNNNNNNNNNNNNNNNNNNNNNNNNNNNNNNNNNNNNNNNNNNNNNNNNNNNNNNNNNNNNNNNNNNNNNNNNNNNNNNNNNNNNNNNNNNNNNNNNNNNNNNNNNNNNNNNNNNNNNNNNNNNNNNNNNNNNNNNNNNNNNNNNNNNNNNNNNNNNNNNNNNNNNNNNNNNNNNNNNNNNNNNNNNNNNNNNNNNNNNNNNNNNNNNNNNNNNNNNNNNNNNNNNNNNNNNNNNNNNNNNNNNNNNNNNNNNNNNNNNNNNNNNNNNNNNNNNNNNNNNNNNNNNNNNNNNNNNNNNNNNNNNNNNNNNNNNNNNNNNNNNNNNNNNNNNNNNGUGGUUAGCUAUCUUCAGUCCCGGUUCUGGUCAGAUUAAAAACUAAUUUAAGAGCCAAGUCAAAACCCAGAAGUUUGUUGCUUGUUUUGAAUAAUGUUGCCAUUAAUUUUCUACAUGAAAGUCAUAUUAUUCUACUUACUGUAAUACAAUAAACAGGCUGGUUGAUGAUGGACCUCUCCAGUCUCCUCUGUCCUUGUGAUCAUUCUGGGUAUAAAAAUCAUAAUAUAUAUACGUCAAUUUGCAAUCUCUCUCUCAUGCUCACAUGUGUAUGCAAGGUAAAAAGCAGAUAGAAUUUUACAUAUACAAGUCAAGUAACUUUGAAGCAAUAUACUUUGUAUUCUUUUGCGAGUGUCAAAAUACAGUGCAAAAAUGAGAGGUUGAUUACCCAGUGGUCUGAGGUGUGCACUAGUAAUGAUAAACAUUGUCUGAUGAAGAGGUUGAGAUAUGAACUACUUCAACAUAACAUUAUAACCAGAGAAAUCAGAUUAGGGUGAAAAUUAGACAGGAUAUUAAUUUGCUGACUCUUGGGGUUGAAUCAAUUACAUAUUCAACACCAAACCCUGCCUUCCCCUGCAAGGUACACUGCAUAUAAAAUAAUUCUGAAGGUGGAAUUCUACAAAACCAAAUGCCUUACCUGUUAGAUAAGUUGGUAUGUUCAACUUCGAUCCAAUUAAUUGUGUCCAAAACAUCACUAAGAAGACAAGACAUGUCCCUCACUUUAUAGAGUAACCUGGUAGAUAUUAGGUGGAAAAAAAAUUUGAGGUGCAGAACGUUCUCUCAGUAUGCUUGUGAAACUAACUAAGGUUUUUUAUUUUUAUUUUCUUUAAUGGCCAGACAAGUUGAUGAGUUGUUAGACAAUCUAGAAUUGGAAUAUAUCCAUUAGGAUACUAAAGAGUUAAAUCUGUAAUGAAUUGAUUUUGUGACUCGGUGAAGUCAGUUGCUUAUUGAUGUAAUUAGAUCUUGAAUACUGGUGUAUGAGCCUAAACCGAAGCUGUCAGUUUGUCCAUAUAUUAAAGUACAAAUGCCUUGCCCUUGCUGCUACAUUUUGCCACAGCUAUCUACUUCAUCUGUUAGCUCAGGGCCUUGCACAAUCACCAUGUUGGUUACUUGCUCCUUUACUCCCUUUUCUGUUUCUGCCUUUUUCAGUAAUUCAGUUGUUUUAAAAUUGAGUGAUCUUACAAGAACUCAUGAGUCAUGACAAAUUUGAAAGACAAGUCCCUAUAAAUGUCAAGAGAAAUGCUUCUGCUCUUAAUUUCUUGUGGCAUCUAAUUAACUACGUAUGCUUCUUUGCCUAAUAUUAAUCUGAUGAUAGGUAGAAGCUGCCAUGAAAAUAUGAAACGCUUCUCAGAACACAUCAUAAGAUAAACUGAUUAAUUACAAAGGAUACAUAUAUAAUGUCAGCAACAAAUUUGUAUUAAAUAAUAACAUGUGAUCUCUCACAUAAAUAUGAUUCAAAGUCUUUGAAGUUACAGAAGUCUUCAAGCUUACCUUUUUUUUUUCACGUCUGGAAGACUGACUAGGCAAAUUUGAGUCAUUACACGUUACACGGUCACAAUUGCAAGUUGCAAUCCAUUGAACAGGAUCUGCAUAGUAUAAUCUGUUGAUAAUUUUUUUGUAGCUCAAUGUCAUUAUCACCUACCAAUACUUUUAACAACUAUUCUUAUUGUUCAUUAAUAAUGUUAUGCAAGAUAAUUAAUCACUUUCUAUUUUGCCAUUAGGCUUCCUUGGUUAGAUCACCAAAUAAAGAAAUCACCAACUCACCUCAAUGCUAAAAGAUUAUUCAUGUCUAUAAGAGUUACAACUGAGUCAUCACCCACAAUCUUGAAACAGUUUCUUCCAGCCACAGUUUUGCCAAUUCUAAGAUCAAUUCAAGGCAGCCCUAAUUAAUUUUUGGCUAAUUGAAGAUGUUUGAGUCUAGCAUGGUUAAUUGAACUUGCAAAAAAAUUAUUAAUGUUGUGAAUGUGAUAAGCACAGAUGUAAUAUGUUUGACUAUUAAUGAACAUGUCAGAUUAGACUUUGUCAACUGAAAAUAUAUAAUAUGUUGAUUAGUUAGAAACCUUCAAUGUGGCAUAAGUUUUUGUCUCAUUAGCACUUCUUAGAUCAUGCUAAUUAUAAGGAAUGAAUUGAGUUCAACAGACAAAACUUUGCCGGCUAUUUGCAGCAACUCCAGAUAUAAAUCAAUUAUCUCACUCAAAUAAUGAAUAAAAAAAAAGAAAAAGUUUAAGGUAUGAAGAAGACAAUGCAAAACUGUUUAUGAUCAAUUCAUAUUUGAUGGUAUGUGAUGCACUUCCUAAAUAUCUAUAAACUUAUUUACUAGGGAAACAUUCAUUUGCUACCUAAUCCAAAUUUUUUAUAAAUGUUUGUACUUUCAAAGAAGUGGCAAAUAAGUUAUGACUUUUUCAUAAUGUGGAGAAUUAUACCCCAACUGCAGGUUAUCAAAUAUGAACUUGUUUCUAGCAUUUCUUUCCACAAAGGCAACACAGAAUCAAUCAACGCAUCAAACUUCAAUCCAAAAAGAAAAAUAUAGGAAAGAUACAUAGAAGUCUUAAGUGAAUUAUGACCUGUUCCCCGACAAUAUUAAAAUGAUGUAAGCCAUGGAUGAGGAAAACGGGACUAGAAAAUAGAAAAUAGAAAAUAACUAGUUGUAAAGGCACAUGCCAGUAGUCACCAACUUCAUUGAGAGGAAACAAGGACCAAUUCAUUUGUUUUCCAUCUAUAAAUAGAACUUUUUGCCAUGCACGAUUUCUCACCCCGCUCCCAAGUAGUAGCAUACAGCUCCACAACGUAGGAUAGAUUUCCUUCCAGCGGAAUUGUAAUGAAAGGAGUUCAACUUUUCCUUGUAGUUUCUGCCUUCUUGGCCUUCGCUUGGUCAUUAGCCUCAGCUUCUGACCCUGACCCUCUCCAAGACUUCUGUGUAGCCAUCAAUGACACCAAGGACGGUGGUAUGUUAUAGUAUUACGUUUUGUCUCUCAGGACUUUCAUGUUAAUUAUUAUUUUAUGUCAAUGACUAUAAUUUCCAUUCCCAGCAAUAGUUUUCUUCAUAAUUAACGAACAUUACUUUCAUUGAUGCAGUGUUCGUAAAUGGGAAGUUCUGCAAGGACCCAAAGCUUGCCAAGGCAGAAGACUUCUUCUAUUCAGGGCUCAAUAUCCCCAGAAACACAUCAAAUCCAGUGGGAUCAACUGUGACUCAGGUCAAUGUUGCACAAAUACUAGGACUUAACACUCUUGGCAUAUCUCUUGCUCGAAUUGACUAUGCUCCGUACGGAGGCCUAAACCCCCCUCACACUCAUCCUCGUGCCUCUGAGAUCCUAGUGGUUUUAGAGGGCACACUUUACGUUGGCUUUGUUACAUCCAACCCGGAGAAUCGUCUCAUCACCAAAGUCUUGUACCCUGGAGAUGUGUUUGUUUUCCCAGUUGGUCUCAUCCACUUCCAGCUCAAUAUAGGGAAAACUAAUGCAGUUGCCUUUGCUGGUCUCAGCAGCCAAAAUCCAGGAGUAAUCACUAUUGCAAAGGCAGUCUUUGGCUCAAACCCUCCCAUCAAUCCUGAUGUUCUCACCAAGGCCUUCCAGCUGGACAAGAAUAUUGUUACCUCUCUUCAGUCCCGGUUCUGGUGGGACAACAAUUAAUUUGAAUAAUGUGUCAUGAAUCCAUAAGAUAUGGUAGUUUUUUAUUUUGAAUAAUGUGUCAUCCAUCUUCCUUGCUGUUGUCAUAAACCUAAUAAUAAUGGAUCAAGUGAUUACAUUUGUACCUCUCCUUUGCUGUGUUCAGCAUUCUAUAUAUUAAAAUUUUUUAAGCCAUAACAUUGCAUUCUAUGUAUUCUGUGCGCCUUUGAACAUGUGGAGUGAAAUUUAUAAUUAGUGGUUAAUAGUGCAAUGCUGUCAAGAGGGAGAAAUGUACAAUUGGUGAAGUUGAUAUUUGCAGACCUGAUUAGAAAAUUAACGGGGCAAGUUAAUCAGUACAGUUAGGAAAAAAGACUAUAAAUUUGGCAAAUAAAGAAUGCAGGGUAGGUUAAAUAAAAUGUGUACAAUUAACAUCACACAACCUCUCCUCCUCUUUCCUCCCAAGGAAACCCUAAAGGAAUAAUAAUUCUGAUCCUUUCAGAUGCAUGCAUGAUAAGCAGGUUUCCUAAGUUUGCAGGUCAAUUCUCCAAACAAUAAGACCUUAAACGCAUCCUAAGGAAAAAACAUGAUCUGGCGAGAUGACAGCAAUUAUUGAUAUAAGUGAUCACAGUGAAAUGAGACCUAUUAGUUACUAAGGCUUUUAAUUGAGUGUGUGACCUGCAACAUCGAUCCUUGAAUUUGGGCAAAUGAUGCCUGACCUUACAAGAAUUUAAGUGUAACUUAUGUGUGCAUGCCAAACUUUUAUCAGACAAUAAUGUGAAUAAUGAUUUAAUAAUAGGCCUAAGUCUCACCCAGCAAGGACAAAGUGUAUUAAAGUAAUAGCAAUUUUCCAAUACUUUCUCAUCUAGAUGUCUGAAUGUUGCGAACACUGAUGUUUGGAUGUUGAAAUCAGCUCAACUUAGUUUGCUUUUUAUAGUUAUCAGAUAUUAUAUAAGAAGAUAAAAGGAACAAAUACAUUUACUUAUUCUUCUUUCUAAAGCCAUAUGUUUAUACUUAGUAAAACAAAGUUUAGAAGAUUUUCCUGACAAUUUAUAACCUUUGUUUAUGUUCAGGAUUUCUGUGAUCUUUUGCUAAUUAUUAUUAUAUUUUUAUCUUUGUAGUAUUUAGCAAGUUAACUGACUAGUUUACCAUUCUGCUUUUCUGCUUAAACAACAGUUCAAAAAAGAAAAGAAAAAAUAAUAAAGAGAAAAACAUAGCCUAAUUGGUUCACUUUAGCCUAUUCAGGCCUGGGUUUAGCAUGCACUUCAGAAGGGCCUAUAUCUUGAUUGUAGCUCACAUCUAUACUUCUCCAACUGUUGCUUCAGUGAUUAGUUCAAAGUACUGCAUUCUUCAAGAAGUGGUCAAAUUUUGCAAUUUGCCAAUUCAAGCAAGGUUAAUCUUGCAAGAAUCCUUGCUUUUUUAGUCAAAGGGGCCAUAUGUUUUAUUGUCCAGGAACAUGUCACAUUAGACUUUGUCAACUGAGACAAAAACUUUACAGAGUCUCUCUGCCUUACAGGUUUGUUACGUCCUUUUUGCUACAUUCAAUUUUUGGCAAUAGUACUACUUCAGUCACACUAUUGGUUUGAGUACCUUUUUCUUUCUGAAUACAGAACAUUAUUUUUUUAUCUGAGCUGCUCUCCAAAUAUGAUUUAUUGAAUCAUAAAUUUGUAGCCCGAAUUUCCGUUGAAGUGCAAUGGACUACUUACAUGUGUCAUCUGCCACAGCUGCAAAUGCAAGCAUGUCUAAUUUAAAUACUAUGAAAAGGAAGAAGUACCUGUAAGGGAAACUGUCAACUUUUGAAUUGCAAGAUCAAUUAGCUGAAGCGCCGGCAUCCUGCAGCAAUUAUCAAUUUGUGCUAAAGUCAAUGAAGUAGGUCAGUUUAAAUUGAGUACCAAUGUUCACAAACAAGGAAAGGAAGGAAACUUUUGAUAUGUACAACAAGACCACUUCCAUGUCUAAAUGCUGUGAUGUAAGCAUUGGAAGUGGGCAUUCGAAGAGGAUAUAGAUGCAUGGUUGCUGAGGAAUUAUUCGCCCACAAAUUUAAAGGAAAAAAAAAAAAAACCAAGUCACUGCUGACUUGGUAAGUCCUUGAUGAGAAAGAUCAAAUACUUGUUCAAAGACUCCAACCUAUAAAUAGGCAUGCUUUCAAAAGGUUUACUCACCCAAAGCAAGAAAACUUGGAAGACUUGAAUCUAGUAACCUGCCAAGCUACAAUGAAAGGUGUUUAUUUCCUGGCAUCUUUUCUCUUUUUGGCUCUGGCUUCCUCAUUUGCCUCUGCCUCUGACCCUAGCCCUCUUCAAGACUUUUGUGUAGCCCUCAAUGACACUAAAAUUGCAGGUAUGUUUUCCCUUAAUUUCUCUGUUUUCAUUUGAAUUUACCGGGGUAUGCAUAAACGAAAGACAUUCAGCAAGGAUGCAAUAAUGCUUCUAUUCUCCAGAACAAUAAUAACUAAAAUGAAUCUUUUCUUUCUUGCGUGCUUGGUAUCAACAAACACUUUUCUCUUUCAUGCAGUAUUUGUGAAUGGGAAGUUCUGCAAGGACCCAAUGCUUGCCAAAGCAGAAGACUUCUUCUUUUCAGGGCUCAACGUGCCAGGAAACACAUCAAAUCAACUGGGGUCAAAAGUCACUCCUGUUAAUGUGGAACAAAUUCCAGGACUUAACACUCUUGGCGUAUCUCUGGCAAGAGUUGACUUUGCACCUUAUGGUGGGCUAAAUCCCCCUCACACUCACCCUCGUGCCACAGAGAUCCUAGUUGUCCUAGAAGGCACACUCUAUGUCGGCUUUGUCACAUCCAACCCGGAUAACCGUCUCAUCACCAAAGUCCUCUACCCUGGCGAUGUUUUUGUCUUUCCGGUUGGUCUCAUCCACUUCCAGCUCAAUAUAGGGAAAACUAAUGCAGUUGCCUUUGCUGCUUUCGGCAGCCAAAAUCCAGGAGUUAUCACUAUUGCAAAGGCAGUCUUUGGCUCAAACCCUCCCAUCAAUCCUGAUGUUCUCACCAAGGCCUUCCAGCUGGACAAGAACGUAGUGAAAUAUCUUCAGUCACAAUUCUGGUGGGAUAACAAUUAGACCAAUAUUCAACAUCCAUGAAGCAGUAGACAGUUUGGAGCAAUAUCUUACAUGUUUCCAUCAUUAUUUAAGUAAUUCUUGUUGAAGUCAAAUAAAGAGGUUGCUUAUGUAUCUCCACUGAUGUAAUUCUCCCUGUAUGUUGGUUUUGGAUUUAUUAUGUUAUUACAGUUUGCUCCAAAUUAGCACCAAAUCUCAACUUUUAUCUAGAUUUCAUUGGAAGCCCCACUUUUGAGAAUACUUUAAUUAAGGUCUUGGAAUCUGGCACGUGAAGAUUUACACAAAACAUCAAAGGAUUUUCAGAAUUGGGCUAACUUUAUGUUUCUUGCCGAUGAACUAUUUAGGAAAGUUGGGAUCUUAUUUGCCAGAAUCCAGAACACACCAAAUUUUGUUAAGAAGUUAGAGAUCUAGUGCUACUGCAUUCUAUAAAGAAUGCAUGGGAAAUAUAUAUAGUUAGGAGUCAAUCAACUAGUCUUCGUUUGACCUGAAAACAUUGUGGACCUUAACCCUUCAUGAGAAUGUCUUGGCAUUGCAGAAGCAAGUGUUUUGUCAUUGCUAACCAUCUAGUCUAGCUUCGAGUUUAGGGCCUUCUUUGAAGUCAAUGGAUUAGUUAUAACAAUUGCUACAGGGAUUGUCACCUUAUAAAUUGCAAAUGAUAGGCAACCAUUUCAACGAGAAACGGCAAUCUUUAAGAAAUAACUGUUUUUUAUACAAGUUUUUCUAAGUAUAUCGGUUUCACUAGAUUUCUAUCAUAUAACUGAUAAGACCUUUUUCAAACCUUUAUGGUACAUUUUACUCUAAACAAUCAUUUGAUGAAAGUUCUAUCCAUCAUGAUAAUCUUUGACAAGAAAUAUUGCUAUGAUGAAAAAGUGAGCAUCACACUUGUUAACAUAUUUAUAGUAAUUUUGAAUUUAUGAUUUUGACUUGCUGAUACUAAUUUUAGUUUUUUUAUUAGUUCUUAUUAUAAAAUAAAAAUUUUCGGCAUUUUUAGGUUAAUUGCAAUUAAUUUAACAAGAAACAAUUACAAUUUGUAGAUUCAAGUACAAAAAGAUUUUUUAUUGGACUUAAAUUUUGACAUCUUGUCAUUAUUGUGGAUGGUGCUCAACUACAAGUCGGUUUUAAGAAUUAGUUUUUAAAUUCAAAUUACAUCUAUCAUAUCAUCUUGCGAAGUUAAUACAAUUAUAAAACUAUAUAGAUUAUAAAUUAAAUCAACGUGAUUUAUUAGAUUGCCAUACAAUCAUUGUAUUGUUACCUUGAUUCUUUCAUAAAUAAUUGAAAAUCCUUUAUAUAUGUAUAUCUUAUUACAUAUGUCAUCUGCUAUUUUUUUUUUUUUUGAAAGUUAUGUCAUCUGUUAUUCGGAGAUAAAAUAUGUCAUGCCCCAAUCCCUAGUCAUGACACGGCCAUAUUAUCGUGAGAUUAGGUCCCAAAGUAAUACAAAACCUUUCCUUUCAUCAUACUUAUAAUAGUCCAAAAUUGAAGUCAUAAUAAUAGUUUUGUUCCAACAUAUUCACAUAAUUAAUUAUUAAGAUCCGACUAACGUCUUCAAGAAAAAUAAAUAAAUAUUUAGAACUUUAAAUAUCCAUUACACAUAGUAUGCGUUUCAAAGUAGUUAACAAUGUCUUGACACUAGGACAAACUUCUCAAUUUAUUCUCUUAGCUCACAUGAUCUUAAGGUUCAUAUCUUUAGUCAUCUGCAAAAUAUAAUAAAAAAAUAAGCAAACCACAGCUCAGCAAGUAUAGCCACACAUACACCCUACCGAAUCAAGCAUUGUUUUCAAUAUAACAUGUUGAUCAUUCAAAGGCAUUUCAAUAAAUCAUGCUUCCAAAUAGUUAAAGAAUCAUAUAUACAAAAAGGAAAAACAUAGUGAGUUCUUAAUCAUUGAUCGUCAUAUAUCAUUUUUAAAAUAUCAUUCUAGCAAAUCAUAGAUUCAAUCUUUUAAACUCGUAAAAUUUCAUCAUCUUAGUUACUGUCACUAUUAUAUCCCGUUGCAAGGGCCGUAUCGACUAAUCAUUUUCAUGAUCGUUACUCACUAUUAUAUCCCCUUAGCACGGCUGUUUGCUAACUAUUAUAUCCUGUUAGCACGGCUGUAGAACUAGUUCUAGUGUCGAUUAUCCCACUUCCCAAGGAUUAUUUCGUAGCUCUUAAAACAUUCUUUAAAGAUGAUCAAGGUUUCCUUUCAUUCAUAAAUUGAUAUUCAUCACAUAAAUCAAUCAAAGCAUUCAUAGAAUAAUGUUCGUCAUAUGUAUAAUUCAAAUAAUUUGAAAAUCCAAUUUUCCAUUACAUGAGUAAUAUUCAUCAUAUUACUAAGCUUAAAAAAGAAAAUAAUCAUAUGCUUGACCCUAUUUUCAAUAUACUAAAAUAAUGAAAUAAGACAUUUAAUUCAUUUAAGAAAUAUACAUAUACGAUAGUUUCGAAACAAGUAAAGGAGUGAAGAUAUAUUUACUGCCCUUCAUUCUAACAAACUCGCUUCCUCCCAAAGUAAUCAAAAGCCUAAUAAUAAUCAUUUAAACAUACUAGCAACCAUCUAACUCUCUAAAAUUUAUUUAUCAUCUAAAACUAUACAAAAUAAUCCAAACUCUCCCAAAUCAAAAAUCUGGACAGUUUGCACAUCAUUCACUAAAAUAACCAUAUCUUAAGCUAUGAAACUUAAAAGCAAGAUUUGUUUAGUGUGUUGGAAACUAGACUUGAUAAGCUUUCUAUCCAUAUAAAUCUCAAAACUUAUUUCACUGUAGGAAAGGUGCAGAAAAUUUUUGAAAUUGCCCCCGGAGUUGCUGCCAGGCAGUUUGCACUGUUUUUACCAAAAAAAAUUCAUAUCUUUGCAUAGGAAAUUUGGAAUCCGCUUCCAUUUGGUUCCUUAGAAAAUAGACUCAUGUAGCUUUCCAACCGUUUAUAACUCAACUAGUGAAACUCCAUAAAUCAUUUCAUAAUCAGACUCAAAUUGACUGGACAGUACAUGAAACUUGAUGCUACAAAUAGAUUUUCCUUUUCAAUUUCAAUUCAAAUUCUUGUAAAUCAAUCACAUGUUCUCUUUUUAUUUAAAAGAGGGUUUUACUCACCCUGUAAUGAUCGAUCCAGAAAUAGCCUUCAAAUGCUUAUUCUUCAAGUUGUUCUUGAAAAUCCCCAAAUCUUACACCAAAGUAUAUAGUUUUAGGGGUUUUCAUUAAGAUGACUGUCUAUAUUUAAAUAAUAUAUUUAUAUUAACCCUAAUGGUAUUUUAAUAACUUCAAUAUAAAAAAGCAAUUUAGGCCCAAUUAAUUGUAAAGGCUUAUCUAUUACUUUUUUUUUUUUGUAAAUACUUCAGUCCAAAUAUUAUUUAGGUUGGGGUAUUACAAAAAACCAGCAGUCUUGAAUCUUCUCAAAAUUUUUGUUUGCAUCAGUAUACUUCUUAAGCCAUGCUAUUUAUUUCCAAGUGAGGUUUGCUGGCCUGUUGCUAGAACUCUGGGUAUCAAUUGUUUGCCGCCCUGUUUCACCAUUAAAAGAUUGAAUCAGAAAAAAAAAUAAGAAACCAAAAAAACUUUUUCCAUGAAAAGGAAUGCAUUGUUGAUUAAUAGUUCCUGUUCUGUACAUGAGCAGUUUCAGAGGCCAUGAAAUGAAUACUGUUCUUACUGGGUGGCAGUGACAGAUAUAGUACAAAAUGCCAGCAAUAACCGGCAAACUUUUACUUGAGCAGAUUACAUAGCCCAGGAAAUCCAUUAUUUCUAACAAGUAAAGCCACGCAAACAUGGUAAUACAUUAACCAAAGAAUGUGCAAGACCGUCUUAUGUGAAUCGAUAGCGGCAUGAGCUACCUGCCGCUCCUCAAUGGCAGUAUUUGUGAACAAGGACCAUUCUUAACCUCAUUUAAUUACAAGUUAAAUUUUAUGGAGCGUCGGCAGCCCCACCAACAUUAGAAAUAUGCUGAAGUCAAUGAAUUUGUCUCAAUUUAAAUUCAGUAAAAAUAUUUAAGAAAUACAUGAUAUGUCAGGAAUGAGGUAAUGACAAAGAGGGAAUUAAUUUAUUGAAGAUGUAUAUACAUGACAUGAAUGGCUGCCAAAGAAGGAUUCAUUAAGAAUUUUUUUUAUUAACAAAAAAACACUGUAGACGUGGUAAGCCAUUUUCCUGGAAAAAUAAAAUGAAAAGGCAUUGAGUUGUUCAAAGACUCCAUAAAUCUAUACAUAGGCAAGUUCUCAGGAAAGAUUCAUCAUCAUCCCUCCAAAGCAAUUAAACUUGCAAGAAUUUAAGCUAGAAAGCCGCCUUACCAAGAUGAAAGGUGUUCAUUUCCUAUCAGUAGCAUUUUCUCUCUUGGCUCUGGCUUCCUUAUUUGCCUCUACCUCUGACCCUAGCCCUCUUCAGG